UUCCCUCCUUUGGUCCUUAAAGAACUUCUGUUCUCAGUGAUUGGCCCGGGCGGAGGCAGGCCUAGACUUAAAGGGACUGCGCCCUCCAGGGGCACGCGGGAGGGAAGUGACCUGUGGAGUUUGUAGCGGAGUUGGACCACUAAGAAGUUCCAGGGUUCCUUUUGGCGCUGGAAGAAAUUUGGAAGUCGCCUGGCCUGGUCCUGGUCAUCCGUUAUUUUCAGAAGAGACUGCGCCGCUGGUUCAAACUCCACACAGCGCUCCUCCUGCUCUUCCAGAAUCAAGGAAAGUUUGCUUCCCCAAGCAGGAGGACUGCAGAAGUGACCGGUGCUGAGCCAACCCCUCUCCAGGCCUGCUCCCCUUUGGGCUCAGGGGCCCCUGAUUCUAGGGCUGAGCCAGGGCCUGUGUGCAGAUGGAGGGCUCUGUCCAGAGGUAUGCUGGCUACUGAAAAUCCUCCACUGGGCUUGAUGUCAGGCAGCCCAUAUGAUGAUACUGCGUGCAGAACUGGGAAGAGAUUCACAGAAUCGGCUCUCGCAAGACAGGAGGAGCCAAGUCCAGCACACCACUGGCUCUGUCCCGGGACUGUGCCUUCCACAGGUCCCAGGAAGCUGGCUUACAGGGUCCUGUUAACUCACAGGGUCAGAGUUUCCUAGCCUGUCCUCGUGAAGGUGACAGUGAGUACGAUGGUGGCCGUAGUUGAUAUUGGGCUUGUGGUGAUUGAGGCUUCGGUUGCUGCCAUUGGCCUAUUUUCAGUGACAGGGGAGGGACCGGUCAAGGAAGUUCCUCCAUCUCCCUGGGGAAGCCGCUAGGAGGUGCCUGGGAGCUCUAGGACGGAUUAGGGUUAGGGCUUCCUUAGGGCUGGAUCAUGACUCCAUCCGGGACACUGGAAACCUGACGUGGCCUAAUGGACACGCGUCCUGCCACUAUCCCCCUCCCCCUUCCCAGUGAUGAGCUAGCAUCAUGUCACUGAGGAGACAGGAGCUGAGCCGGGGGGAAGCCCUCACCUUACCACUACUGAAUCCGUGCACCUCCCUAGGCGCAUCUCCUCUUUCUUCCUGAUUUAUGCUUGAGGACAAGUCCCUCCUCUUAUUUAAAAAAAAGGGGGGGGCACCUGGGUGGCUCAGUCGGUUAAGUG